rnacentral:rRNA from 1 species
UACGUAGGUGGCAAGCGUUGUCCGGAUUUACUGGGCGUAAAGAGCGCGCAGGCGGUCGUUCAAGUCGCGUGUGAAAGCCCCCGGCUCAACUGGGGAGGGUCACGCGAUACUGAACGACUCGAAGGCAGGAGAGGGAAGUGGAAUUCCCGGUGUAGUGGUGAAAUGCGUAGAGAUCCGGAGGAACCCCAGAGGCGAAGGCGGCGCCCUGGCUCGCAACUGACGCUCAGACACGACAGCAUGGGGAGCGAACGGG